ensembl:lncRNA
UAUUAGUUUGCCCACUCUCUCAUUGACGGUAAAACACAAGUGGAGGAGUACAACACUGAAAUCACAAAGCUCAGGUCCCGACUUUGCCACUACUUAUUUUCCUCAAUAGAUCGAACUAGGAAGUGCAGUCAGUGCUGGUGUGUGAUUGCAGCCAAAGACCGGGUGCAGUGCCAGAAAUGUGGUGCAUACAAGCACAUGCGUUGUUCAAAGUCUGUUUGUGGCAUCUGUAUCUUCUGUGAGAGUAAGUCACAAUAUAACUAAACAAUGUCCAAAAAUGUUUAAAGUGAAAAAAAUUUCGUAAUUUUGCCUUUGCACACCCGGACUGUGUAAUUAAAGUGGACGUUUCAAGAUCCAGUUUUUACACAAAACUAUUUUAGACAUAACUGUGUCGUAUUGUGGGGAUUUCUCUUCACAAUUAAAUUGAUAUAGUGCUGUUUAUAUCAUUCUUCUUUAUGUAACAGCACAGUGCAGCACAGCAGAGGGAAAGGAGUUGUGCAGCAUAGUAGGUGGCUAUACAGGAGGAGCAAUAGAAGUAGCCAGUGAAGAAUGUCAUCAGGGAAAGCAUCAGGCAGCGAAUGACAAAGGAAAAGUUCCUAAGGGAGAGAACAUCUGCAGCAAAUCGACAAGUAACAGUGAGAUAGGAGGACUGACAGUCAGAGAUGAAGGCACACAGACUGAAAGAGAUGAAGGUACACAGACUGAAGACAACGAAAAAGAAGCAGAAGUAUACGGCACAAGUCUGAGUACAGAUAAUGCUGCUGCUGAUGAUGUUGACAGGAUCGAUGCAGAUACAGAAUUCCAAACUGAUUCAGAAGGAACUAGUACAGUUUACAGAGUGCAUGGUCGCUUAUCUGUACCAAGCUCAAAAAAGAAAACCUACACAAUAACAGAAGACGAGAUCAAGCGCAGAAUCAACGCAGAGAACAUGUCAGUUCAUGUUUUCAGAGGUUUGAUUGGGGUAGGUAUACAUUUCGUGAUUUUGAUGUCACCUGAAAUAAAUCCGGGUUACUCGUAUCAAUGAAGUGACAAUGUGGCUGGAAAUUGUGCAUUUGCUGCAACAUAUACACAAUUACACCAUGUAAACAAAAGCAUUUAACUUUGUGCGCGUGUGUGUCUCUCUCUCUGCUCUUUUGGUGUUUGCACUUUUUCUUUUUUAGGGCUGUAAAGCCAAACUGCCCGCAAUGAUUCUUGACAGGCCUAAGAAGGCCAAAACUAAAGUAACAGUGUUUAGUGUUCUGAGUGAAGAGGAGGCUGGGGAGCUAGCCCUCGGGUUUGCCGGAAGAUUGGCCUGCGAUGUCACAACAGACAUGGUCUGUAAAGGCAUCGACCAUUCAAGUGCUGAUAUGACAAAACAGACUCUUCUCAAAAUCCAACACAAUCUUAAACAUGAGCUGACUGAUUCCUCAACCUUCAGUUUGCUGACAUACACCUUUGGCCCCGCUGCACUGGAUUCUGUCAUUUCAUUCCUGUGUGAAAAACUUGAUCUUGUCUCUUAAAUAAUGAAACCUUUUGUGACUUUUGUUUGUUCUGUAAAUCAGAAUCUUGAAAAUUGUUCAUUGUUGUUCUAAGUUUGUGUUAACUAUUUGGCAAAAAUGAUUGGUUCCUAAUCCAAAC